GACGAACGCUGGCGGCGUGCUUAACACAUGCAAGUCGAACGAUGAUCAGGAGCUUGCUCCUGUGAUUAGUGGCGAACGGGUGAGUAACACGUGAGUAACCUGCCCCUGACUCUGGGAUAAGCGUUGGAAACGACGUCUAAUACUGGAUACGACUGCCGGCCGCAUGGUCUGGUGGUGGAAAGAUUUUUUGGUUGGGGAUGGACUCGCGGCCUAUCAGCUUGUUGGUGAGGUAAUGGCUCACCAAGGCGACGACGGGUAGCCGGCCUGAGAGGGUGACCGGCCGCACUGGGGCUGAGACACGGCCCAGACUCCUACGGGAGGCAGCAGUGGGGAAUAUUGCGCAAUGGGCGAAAGCCUGACGCAGCAACGCCGCGUGGGGGAUGACGGCCUUCGGGUUGUAAACCUCUUUCGACCGGGACGAAGGAUUCGUUUGACGGUACCGGUAGAAGAAGCACCGGCUAACUACGUGCCAGCCGCCGCCGUAA
rnacentral:rRNA from 1 species